AUUUGACCUCAAAUCAGGUAGGACUACCCGCUGAACUUAAGCAUAUCAAUAAGCCGGAGGGA
rnacentral:rRNA from 1 species